UGGGGAAUAUUGGACAAUGGGCGAAAGCCUGAUCCAGCCAUGCCGCGUGUGUGAAGAAGGUCUUCGGAUUGUAAAGCACUUUAAGUUGGGAGGAAGGGGUUGAAGCUAAUACCUUCAAUCUUUGACGUUACCAACAGAAUAAGCACCGGCUAACUCUGUGCCAGCAGCCGCGGUAAUACAGAGGGUGCAAGCGUUAAUCGGAAUUACUGGGCGUAAAGCGCGCGUAGGUGGUUCAGUAAGAUGGAAGUGAAAUCCCCGGGCUUAACCUGGGAACUGCUUUCAUAACUGCUGAGCUAGAGUACGGUAGAGGGUAGUGGAAUUUCCUGUGUAGCGGUGAAAUGCGUAGAUAUAGGAAGGAACACCAGUGGCGAAGGCGACUACCUGGACUGAUACUGACACUGAGGUGCGAAAGCGUGGGGAGCAAACAGG
rnacentral:rRNA from 1 species